UACAGAGGUCUCAAGCGUUGUUCGGAUUCAUUGGGCGUAAAGGGUGUGUAGGUGGCGCCGUAAGUCGGGUGUGAAAUUUCGGAGCUUAACUCCGAAACUGCAUUCGAUACUGCGGUGCUUGAGGACUGGAGAGGAGACUGGAAUUCAUGGUGUAGCAGUGAAAUGCGUAGAUAUCAAGUGGAACACCAGUGGCGAAAGCGAAUCCCUGGACAACUCCUGACACUGAGGCACGAAAGCUAGGAGAGCAAACAGG
rnacentral:rRNA from 1 species